CAAUUUAAACAACGAAGAGUUUGAUCCUGGCUCAGGAUGAACGCUAGCGACAGGCUUAACACAUGCAAGUCGAGGGGCAGCGGGGUGUAGCAAUACACCGCCGGCGACCGGCGCACGGGUGAGUAACGCGUAUGCAACUUGCCUAUCAGAGGGGGAUAACCCGGCGAAAGUCGGACUAAUACCGCAUGAAGCAGGGGCCCCGCAUGGGGAUAUUUGCUAAAGAUUCAUCGCUGAUAGAUAGGCAUGCGUUCCAUUAGGCAGUUGGCGGGGUAACGGCCCACCAAACCGACGAUGGAUAGGGGUUCUGAGAGGAAGGUCCCCCACAUUGGUACUGAGACACGGACCAAACUCCUACGGGAGGCAGCAGUGAGGAAUAUUGGUCAAUGGGCGUAAGCCUGAACCAGCCAAGUCGCGUGAGGGAUGAAGGUUCUAUGGAUCGUAAACCUCUUUUAUAAGGGAAUAAAGUGCGGGACGUGUCCCGUUUUGUAUGUACCUUAUGAAUAAGGAUCGGCUAACUCCGUGCCAGCAGCCGC
rnacentral:rRNA from 1 species